AGUGAACGCUGGCGGUAGGCCUAACACAUGCAAGUCGAACGGCAGCACAGUAAGAGCUUGCUCUUACGGGUGGCGAGUGGCGGACGGGUGAGGAAUACAUCGGAAUCUACUUUUUCGUGGGGGAUAACGUAGGGAAACUUACGCUAAUACCGCAUACGACCUACGGGUGAAAGCAGGGGAUCUUCGGACCUUGCGCGAUUGAAUGAGCCGAUGUCGGAUUAGCUAGUUGGCGGGGUAAAGGCCCACCAAGGCGACGAUCCGUAGCUGGUCUGAGAGGAUGAUCAGCCACACUGGAACUGAGACACGGUCCAGACUCCUACGGGAGGCAGCAGUGGGGAAUAUUGGACAAUGGGCGCAAGCCUGAUCCAGCCAUACCGCGUGGGUGAAGAAGGCCUUCGGGUUGUAAAGCCCUUUUGUUGGGAAAGAAAAGCAGCAGGUUAAUACCCCGCUGUUAUGACGGUACCUAAAGAAUAAGCACCGGCUAACUUCGUG
rnacentral:rRNA from 1 species